GCAGGAAUGGUGGAAUGGUAGACACGGGGGACUUAAAAUCCCCUGGCCUUUGCGGGCUGUGUGGGUUCGAGUCCCAUUUCCUGUA
rnacentral:tRNA from 2 species